UACGUAGGGCGCAAGCGUUGUCCGGAAUCAUUGGGCGUAAAGCGCGUGUAGGCGGCCGAGUAAGUCUGCUGUGAAAGUCCAGGGCUCAACCCUGGGAUGCCGCAGAUACUGUUUGGCUAGAGUACGGGAGGGGCGAGUGGAAUUCCUGGUGUAGCGGUGGAAUGCGCAGAUAUCAGGAGGAACACCUGCGGCGAAGGCGGGUUGCUGGGCCGACACUGACGCUGAGGCGCGAAAGCUAGGGGAGCGAACGGG
rnacentral:rRNA from 1 species